rnacentral:misc_RNA from 1 species
GGAAGGAUCAUUACCAAAUCCAAAACUUUAUCAACACCAAACAAGUGAACUGAGAAUGGUUUCGUUCCCCUCUGCAUGUGCAUACAAUGUGUUUCCACAUUCGUGCGUGUGCGAAGGGGGAUGUUUUUUUUCAACCCCUUUUCAACCUCUUACAAUCUUUUAUGCUGAAAGCAAAAAAAAAACGAAACAUGAGACAACUUUUAACGGUGGAUCUCUUGGCUCGUGCAUCGAUGAAGAACGCAGCAAACUGCGAUACGUAAUGUGAAUUGCAGAAUUCAGUGAAUCAUCGAAUCUUUGAACGCAUCUUGCGCUCCCAGGCAUUCCUGGGAGCAUGCCUGUUUGAGUGUCGCAAAUACCAUGCUCACCGAGAGAAAACAAAAACUAGUUGAGAAAGUGAUUCAUUUCUCUUUCUCUUCUGUUUUUUUAAACUCCCUCUGGUGGUGUUGAGUUGUCUUGCGAGUAACAUUGCAAGUCACUUUAAAUACGUAGAUCAGCUGAUCGUUCCUUUACCGGACGUCACAGGCCCUUUACUGGGCCUGCCUCGGUUUCAGCUAUGAUUUUCCCUCUUCACUGUAAUUUUCUCCAACUCAAGUGUCCUUACUUUACUGUAAGGUUUUCUUGAUGUGGUAAGGUUAUUUAUAUACCAUAUUCAUCAAGAGUUCAAAUACAAGAGCACAAAGAAGACACAACAGAGUCGAGCGGUGAAAUUUGAAACCAACUAAAGAGGGCAUCUUCUUCUGUGUAUGUGUGUUCACACACACACACACAAACAUCUCUAACCGCGACCUCAAAUCAGACAAGAUUACCCGCUGAACUUAAGCAUAUUAAUAAGCGGAGGAAAAGAAACUAACAAGGAUUCCCAUAGUAACGGCGAGUGAAGUGGGAAGAGCUCAAAUUUGGAAUCUCCAGGGGACAACUCUGGCGAAUUGUAGUCUCGAGAAGACUUUUCUGGUGUGGCUGCUGGUCUAAGUUCCUUGGAACAGGGCAUCAAAGAGGGUGAGAAUCCCGUAUUUGACUGCACAGCACAUGCCUAUACGUGAGUCUUUCAAAGAGUCGGGUUGUUUGGGAAUGCAGCCCAAAAUGGGUGGUAAAUUCCAUCUAAAGCUAAAUAUUGGCACGAGACCGAUAGCGAACAAGUACUGUGAAGGAAAGAUGAAAAGCACUUUGAAAAGAGAGUUAAGAGCACGUGAAACCGUUAAAGGGGAAGCGAUUGGAGCUAGCAGUGUGGCGGAGAUGAUCAGCCAGUAGCGGUCUCGCCGGCGGGCUUUGGUAGCGUAAGCACCGGGUUUGUCGUCAUGGGGCUGUCCACUGGUGUACUCUUUUCCGUUGCAGGUCAACAUCGGUUUUCUGGUGCGGGUAAAAGCAGUCGGGGAGGUAAUCAGCUUCGGCUGAUGUUAAAACCGAUUGUGCUACCGCGCUGAAGACUGAGGCAGGCUGCAGCGUGUGCCAUUAGGCUGGGCCAGCUCUGUUUGGGUGGCUACCAGGCUACGUACUACUUGUAGUGCGUGGUUUGGCGGUUGUCUACGAUGGGGUGACGUCACAAACACGCUUCGGAUGUUGACGAAAUGGCUUCAACUGACCCGUCUUGAAACACGGACCAAGGAGUCUAACACAUACGCGAGUCUUAGGGUGGCAAACCCAGGAGGCGCAAUGAAAGUGAAGGCAGGUUCGGCCUGCUGAGGUGAGAGCCCGCAAGGGUGCAUCAUCGACCGAUCUGGAUAUUCUUUGAAAGAUUUGAGUAAGAGCGUAUCUGUUAGGACCCGAAAGAUGGUGAACUAUGCCUGAAUAGGGUGAAGCCAGAGGAAACUCUGGUGGAAGCUCGUAGCGGUUCUGACGUGCAAAUCGAUCGUCAAAUUUGGGUAUAGGGGCGAAAGACUAAUCGAACCAUCUAGUAGCUGGUUCCCAC